AUGGCCAAUGGCAGGCCAGGCAGAGAAGGUGUUUGUCCCCACCGACACGGAGCUGCUCCAGGCGCAGUCGGACCUGUGGCGCCACACCCUCUGGCUACCUCACGCCUAUGGCGCUCCAGUGCGCCGUCGACCUUGGCGUCCCCACCGCCAUCCACCGCCUCGGCGGCGCCGCGUCCCCAUCCGAACUUGUCGCCGCCCUAUCCCUCCCCACGUCCAAGCUGCCCUUCCUCGCCCGCCUGCUGCGCCAACUCGCCACGGCGGGCGAUCUUCAGUGCAACCGACGUCGGAACGUACCGCCUCAACCCGCUCUCGUACCUCCUGGUAGACGACGUCCGCAUCGUCGGCGACGCUAGCCAGACGGCCCUCGUGCGCGCCGCGGCCUCGCGCUACUACGUGGAGGCGGCCAUGGGGCUGGCGGACUGGUUCAGGAAGGACUUCGAUGGAGCCGUCCCCUCGCCCUUCGAGGACGUGCAUGGCGCGGCCAUCUUCGAGGAGAGCAUGGUGCUCCUCGACCCGGAGAUGGAUCAGCUGCUCCACGACGCCCUCGCUGCCCACGACCACAUGGGGAUCGGCCCCGUGCUCCGGCAGUGCAGUGAGCUGUUCGAGGGGCUUGAGACUCUCACUGACUGCGGCGGUGGCGAUGGGACUACCGCGAGGUCCAUCGUCGAGGCCUACCCUCACAUCACGUGCACUGUGCUGGACCUUCCAAAGGUCAUGGACAAAGUUCUUCCCACUGAAGAAGGAGCAGUUAAGUAUGUUUCCGGUGACCUGUUCCACGUUGUCCCACCUGCUCAAGCCGUGUUGGUCAAGCUUGUACUGCACUUCUGGAAGGACGAGGAUUGCGUCAAGAUCUUGGCACAAUGCAAGAAGGCCAUUCCUCCCCGAGAUGCCUGA
rnacentral:rRNA from 1 species